CCGACGCCCCGCCCCACCCGCUCCUCGGGGCGGGGCGGAGCCUGACGGCGCGGCUGUCGCGCGGAGCCGAGUCACCGGCGCGGCCGGCCCCAGGGUGGAGCUGGAAAGAGCGCGUCCUACCGAGUUUGGACCUUCUUAACCCAUUGUAUGCCAUAAGCGUCUAGAUGCAAGCAACGGACCUUCCCCACAUGCCACACACGUCUAUAAUAAAAAAUGUUUUCCAUAAGUGGCUGCCCUGACCAACUUUAAAAUCAUUUUUCGCGAGAAUUUUCAGCUGAAAAUAUUCAAGAACACCUGAAUUAAGAAAGGAGUUAUUUGAAGUGAUGACCUGAUUACCUUGAUGAAGAAAAUUAUAUAGCUGCUAUCUACCUUUUGAAAAUGGGCCUUUGGUUUGAGUGCAAGCUGGAAGAUUGUGAAGCUUUGCACGUGUACAGAGCUGCACCUUCUGCUAAACCAGGGGCAGAAAGUCACUUUUGAAAGUAUAUUUCCCUGAAAGCAUUCUCAAGAUUCAAAGUCCCAGAUGGAAGCACUUGAUUGACUGUGCCUACGUCACGUGCCUGCACCAUAGUGAUCAGAGACACACAUGAGUGGAACAUUCCCUCCCUGAUAUAUGUAUGUGUAUAUCAUGGAAAAGAUAAACUUCUCAAUGCCUGCUGAAGAAUUUGAACAGAUUUUUCCCUCAUCAGUGAGUUGAUUUUUAAGCUGCUAAGCUACCGUUCCCUGUUGGGCACUGUAGUGAUGAAAUACACAGAAAAAGGGCCACUGUUGUGUACCCAAUAGACAGCUUGGAAAUACAUGUACUCAUCUAGGAUAAAAUUGAAUUUUUCUUUUCACUGAAUUAUUAGUGAAAUACUGUCUUCAAGGUUGAGGCUCCCAGAGGUGGUUUGUGGAUGUAUAAAUUGAAUGAGUUUGUAAGUGUGCAUAUAUGUGUGUGUGUAGAGAAUUUUUCAUGCCAUGAAUUAAUUCUGAAAUGACUUCUCAGAGUUGUGUAGUCCUCUUCUUUCACACACAGAGAAUAAUUGGACUCUUUGUUCAAUUGAGAAAAUGAGGCAGGGAUGGGUGGAGGAGUAACUUCAGAAGGAAAUCAUAAAAGCAGUCCAGAGGAAAUUUAAUUUUAUCUGUGAAAACAACCAGAACUCAACUCCCCUCCAAACAAGUUAGGAAGAGUGACUCCUAUUGCAGUUACAGUGUGUUCCCUGCUGGAGCAGCUGUGCUGAGGCUGUGGGUUAGUUGGAAGAAGUUGUGUAUAGAAGACCUUAGAGGAAGAGCAUAUUUGAUUGGUCUUUGGUUGAACAUUUUUAUGAUCAGCCAAAGCCAAAAUGAUUUGCUAUGGACCAAGUAUGGUAUCUCCCAUUCUUUGCUAUCUUGUCUUCUUGUCUCCUUUGCCCCCUUUGAGUACAUUUAUUAACUUACAUUUCCCAAAGAAUUGUCAACUUGCAUGAUCCUAGUUUUGGCAUUUUUUCUCCCCAACCACUUGUCUAAACCCCUGCCCUUCUCUUUAGCUCAGUCAUUCCUUCCUUCUCCUAUUGUCUUUAUUAUCUCCUCUUUCUCCUGCCUUCUUUCCGUCACAUUUCUCUCUCUUUAAAGGCUGGACUAAACUUGGGCAAACUUGUUGUAUUUCAAUCUCUCACUUUUUAAAAAAAUAUAUACAGGAGAAAGCAAGAUGGCGGCAUAGGUAAACACUGGAAAUUGCUGCCUCGCACAACAACUUCAAAAACAC